GGGUUGUGAGGUUAAGCGACUAAGCGUACACGGUGGAUGCCCUGGCAGUCAGAGGCGAUGAAGGGCGUGCUAAUCUGCGAUAAGCGCCGGUAAGGUGAUAUGAACCGUUAUAACCGGCGAUACCCGAAUGGGGAAACCCAGUGUGACUCGUCACACUAUCAUUAACUGAAUCCAUAGGUUAAUGAGGCGAACCGGGGGAACUGAAACAUCUAAGUACCCCGAGGAAAAGAAAUCAACCGAGAUUCCCCCAGUAGCGGCGAGCGAACGGGGAGGAGCCCAGAGCCUGAAUCAGCAUGUGUGUUA
rnacentral:rRNA from 2 species